AUUUGGCCCGAUCGAAGCUGAGUCAAACUCCAUGUUUGUCGUCAGUCAAAGCGCGGCCCACAGUAUUAUUUGGCAUAUGGUCGCACGACGCAUUGACAAUAUGGGAUCGUGCAUUACCCAUGUCAAAUACACAU